AUGGGUAUGGCUCAGUGGUAGAGUACUUGCCUAACAUUCAGGAGGCCCUGGGUUCCAUCCCCAGCACUAAAA
rnacentral:tRNA from 1 species